UGAGCCCCUACGAACUUGCAAAAGCAAACAUUUCAUUACAAAAGUUAUGUUCCCAACGGCCGUAGCUCGACCAAGGUUUGACGCCACCCGAAAUCAAGAGUUUUCCAAUAAGAUUGGAAUUUUUCCCUUCACAUACAAAGAACCAGCCAAACGGACUAGUAAAAACCCGUGUGGCGGGUACUUUGGAAACAAAGGUCGUUGUUUUGGUUACUAAAGAGAUUAUUCGCAAGUGUUUGAUCGAAAAAGUCUUACCCGCUAUUCGAGCUAAAUGGCCACGGGGCAAUGGAAUCGAAACAAUUUUGAUUCAAUAGGAUAAUGCGAGGCCUCACAUUCAUGAAUUUGAUGCGGAGUUUCUCAAAGAGGCUUCUAAAGAUGGAUUUGAUAUUCGUUUAUCAUUCCAACCUCCCAACAGUCCGGAUUUAAAUGUUCUUGAUCUUGGUUUUUUUAGAGCAAUUCAAAGUUUGCAAUAUCAAAAAGCACCAAAAAAUAUUGAUGAGCUUGUUUAUGCUGUUGUAAGUGCUUUUGAAGAAUUAUCACCUCAAACGCUAGAUAAUGUCUUCUUGACAUUACAAGCUUGUAUGAUUGAGAUCAUGAAGGUUAAUGGGGGAGUGGGUUACAAGGUGCCACAUAUUGGAAAGGGUGGAUUGAUGAGAGAUGAUAACCUGCCUACUCAACUUCAAUGUGACCAAUAUUUGGUAGAAAGUUUUAUGGCUCAUCUACAAAAUGGAGGCAAUUGAAGUUGGAUGACAUCUUUGUCAAGAACUUUGUUUUUGUGUUUUUGGAUGAAACUUCAAGCAACUGGGGCUGUGAUUUUGUAUGGAGCUUGAAGCAAUUGUAAAGGGCUGUGAUUUUGUAUGAAGAUUGAAGCACUUGUAAAAAGGUCUGCUACCUAUAACAAAAAUUUGUAAAGGGUCUGCUAUGGUAGCAAACACAAAUCCUAUAUUUCUCCCUUUUUUGUUCUUUUCAUGUUUAGGUAUAAUUAACCUUUUGUAAGCUUGUUACCAAUCCUUUUGGUUGAUACUGGUGGCUAUGAUCCACAUAACUGUAUGUUUUGGACAAUGAAAUGAAGUUGUUUUUGUAUCGAAAAA